rnacentral:rRNA from 1 species
AUUGAACGCUGGCGGCAGGCCUAACACAUGCAAGUCGAACGUGUGGCGGACGGGUGAGUAAUGUCUGGGAAACUGCCCGAUGGAGGGGGAUAACUACUGGAAACGGUAGCUAAUACCGCAUACCAUCAGAUGGGCCCAGAUGGGAUUAGCUGGUGGGUGGGGUAAGGGCGCACCUAGGCCACGAUCCCUAGCUGGUCUGAGAGGAUGACCAGCCACCCGGGACCUGAGACACGGUCCAGAUUCCAACGGGGGGCGGCAGUGGGGAAUAUUGCACAAUGGGCGCAAGCCGGAUGCAGCCAUGCCGCGUGUGUGAAGAAGGCCUUCGGGUUGUAAAGCACUUUCAGCGAGGAGGCGUUACUCGCAGAAGAAGCACCGGCUAACUCCGUGCCAGCAGCCGCGGUAAUUC